AACGCACAUUGCGCCCGCCAGCACUCUGGCGGGCAUGCCUGUUCGAGCGUCAUUUCAACCCUCGGGCCACGUCUUGUUUGGCCCGGUGUUGGGGUGCUACUGUCCGGCGGAUCAGUAGGCCCUUAAAACCAGUGGCGGGCUCGCCAGGACUCCGAGCGCAGUAGUUCUCCUCUCGCUCAGGCGGCCUGGCGUGCUUCGGCCGUUAAAAGAAAAACACGUCUGUGUCCUGCAGACAUGAGGUUGACCUCGGAUCAGGUAGGAAUACCCGCUGAACUUAA
rnacentral:misc_RNA from 1 species